UACGUAGGGUGCGAGCGUUAAUCGGAAUUACUGGGCGUAAAGCGUGCGCAGGCGGUUUUGUAAGUCUGACGUGAAAUCCCCGGGCUCAACCUGGGAAUUGCGUUGGAGACUGCAAGGCUAGAAUCUGGCAGAGGGGGGUAGAAUUCCACGUGUAGCAGUGAAAUGCGUAGAGAUGUGGAGGAACACCGAUGGCGAAGGCAGCCCCCUGGGUCAAGGAUUGACGCUCAUGCACGAAAGCGUGGG
rnacentral:rRNA from 1 species